CGAAGUCCUGGAUCAGCUCUUCAACACUUAUGACCGCCAGGAACAAGUUGACGUCAAUGUCCUCCGUGCUGCCGUCCUCCGUGCUCUCCCUACAUAUCUGCAUGAGGAUGACUCCGGAUUUCUGAAGCUGUGGGAUCAGGCCCUGUCAGAUGAACUGCAAAUCGACAACAUACCAGUUGGGCUCCUCCUGAUCAGUGCCACUUCAACAGAUGCUGCGGUAUU